UGGAGGUUAACGCGCCUUUUUAUCAGCGCUUGGGGUAAGGGUAGGUGGUUAUGUGACUUAAUGAUAAAAUGUAAAUACAUGUUUUGAGUCAUAAGGAGGGUUGUUGAUAUCUUGUGACGCUUAGUGCAAUUUUGUAGACGACAAACAGGAUACAAAUAAUGUUGGCUAACCUAGCUAGGAUAGUGUAACUCCAGGUAGAAUUGAUGUGACACUUACAAAAGCGCUUGUUUAACGCAACAUUUAAACAAGCAAACAUUCUGUCACUGCAGCUACGCAUUGAGACCUGCUGAGUGCAGACUGCGCGUUGCUUUUGUGCUGGCGCAUUGGCCGUCUUUUAAGUUGUUAGCAUAGUUUUCUGACUACUGUUUUCAGCCAUGGAAGCUUACGUAUAGAGCACAUAAGUGAAUAGUAUUUCUCCUUGUUUAGAAGGUGCGUUGCUGUCGUUGCCCCGUAGCUUUCUCUCUCUCUCCCUCUCCGAGGUUUGUUUGCGGGAAGCCUGACGCUCCCUAAGGUAUACCAGUGUGUUCUUCCAGCGACAGUCAGCCACUGAUUGAUAUGUUUUCUAGCAGUUGCAUUGCUGCAUCCUUGACUAAAGCUGGUAUAUUUGCUUAUAUAUCUAACAUUAAGCCAUUUGAGUUACGUUAAAUGUCGAUGUUGAAGAAUGUGUAAGGAGAUACGAAAUAGGACCAGCAAAUGAUUUCAGCAUGUUCUUCAUCCUCAUAUACAAGUCCUCUGUGUGCUGCGGCUGUUGACAUCACUGCACCUGGCUUCAUGGACCCACUGCAUUAGUUGGAUGCAGUACAGCAUGAACCAAUUGCUGAUGGAUGUGGAAACAUUGCUC